GGGUUUGGGUUAGGGCUAUCGAUUAGUAUCGCAGUAGCAAAGUAGCUCAACUCGUCGGAACACUGGUCCCAAAAUGCCAAACAUUGUGGAAAUGCUCGAAUGCAAAACAGCAUGGAUGGCGUAGAUGACAUUGCGGAAGGGGCCGAUGGCUGCGGACUGACUGACUUACCUCCCGGCGGCGGAUCUUCCGCGCCAGCUGCACCCCAGACAGCAAUAGCAGCGGGUUCGUGAUCGGCGGCAAUCUGACCGACGUCCCGCUUCUUCGGGAUGUGAGUGACUCAUGGACAGCAGUCAGAACCGCCACGGCGAUUCUCAGCAACCGGGCCAAGACGCGCUCCAAACACCGUAGCGCCAUAUUCGUGUCACGUGGUCCCUGGAAUUGCGGCGCAAGAGUCACAGUUCCAGGUGUACUUUAUACAGGAGAAGUUACAGAAAGCGGCCAGGAUAUCUAACUGGGGCUCGGGGUCUGCUGAUGCGGUUGUCAGCUGGUAUAAAUGUUGAUUGAAUUGUGAUCGAACUGUUAAACUGCCAUUUUAAUCCAGAUUUCACAUCACAUCGGUUGAGUGAUGGUCGGAUUAUACUUCCAUACCUAUGGAAGUUCGUCCCUUAGAUCCAGAGAGACACCGCUGUUGCAUAAAUUGCUAUUGCAUUUACUGUUGUUAUUCUUCGUAGAAUGAGCCCACGUUAUUUUAACUGCUCCUGUCUUACAUCCGCGUUUCAAUAUGUUAGGUUUUAAUGUUUUACGCAUUGAUAUUCUGUUAAUUACCAUUUGUUGCACUAUGACCGGCGAGAUUGAAAUUUCAUCUGCGUGACCCAUGGAUAAUAUGACUGAAGAGGAAAAUAAACACAUUUUGACUUUGAUAA